AACGAACGCUGGCGGCAUGCCUAACACAUGCAAGUCGAACGAGACCUUCGGGUCUAGUGGCGCACGGGUGCGUAACGCGUGGGAACCUGCCCUUAGGUUCGGAAUAACUCCCCGAAAGGGGUGCUAAUACCGGAUAAUGUCUUCGGACCAAAGAUUUAUCGCCUUUGGAUGGGCCCGCGUUGGAUUAGCUAGUUGGUAGGGUAAAAGCCUACCAAGGCGACGAUCCAUAGCUGGUCUGAGAGGAUGAUCAGCCACACUGGGACUGAGACACGGCCCAGACUCCUACGGGAGGCAGCAGUGGGGAAUAUUGGACAAUGGGCGAAAGCCUGAUCCAGCAAUGCCGCGUAAGUGAUGAAGGCCUUAGGGUUGUAAAGCUCUUUUACCCGGGAUGAUAAUGACAGUACCGGGAGAAUAAGCUCCGGCUAACUCCGUG
rnacentral:rRNA from 1 species